rnacentral:rRNA from 1 species
UACAGAGGUCCCAAGCGUUGUUCGGAUUCACUGGGCGUAAAGGGUGCGUAGGUGGUCGGGUAAGUCCGAUGUGAAAUCUCCAGGCUCAACCUGGAAAUGGCAUUGGAUACUAUCCGGCUUGAGGAGUGGAGGGGGGACUGGAAUUCUCGGUGUAGCAGUGAAAUGCGUAGAUAUCGGGAGGAACACCUGUGGCGAAGGCGAGUCCCUGGACACUUCCUGACACUGAGGCACGAAAGCUAAGGGAGCAAACAGG